rnacentral:rRNA from 1 species
CCUCGGCGUAAANNGGGUGGUUAGAUUAAACCUACACUAAAGCGGANNNNCCUCCCUGCUGUUAUACGUACUCGAGAGCAGGAACCCCAACUACGAAGGUAGCUUUAUUUACAUUGACUCCACGAAAGCUGUGAAACAAACUGGGAUUAGAUACCCCACUAUGCACAGCCGUAAACUUUGGCAGAUUAGUACAAUACCUGCCCGCCAGGGAACUACGAGCAUCAGCUUAAAACCCAAAGGACUUGGCGGUGCUUUAGAUCCCCCUAGAGGAGCCUGUUCUAGAACCGAUAACCCCCGUUAAACCUCACCCCUCCCUGGUCAUCCCGCCUAUAUACCGCCGUCGUCAGCUUACCCUGUGAAGGAAUAAUAGUAAGCAAAACUGGCA